rnacentral:tRNA from 1 species
GGGGCUGUAGCCUAGUCUGGUUCAUGGCGCCACCCUGUCACGGUGGAGACCACGGGUCCAAAUCCCGUCAGCCCCGCCA